AUUGAACGCUAGCGGCAGGCCUAACACAUGCAAGUCGAACGAGUGGCGGACGGGUGAGUAAUAUAUGGGAAUCUGCCCAGUAGCGGGGGAUAACUACUGGAAACGGUGGCUAAUUCCGCAUACUAUCGGAUCAGCCCAUAUUGGAUUAGCUAGUUGGUGGGGUAAAGGCUCACCAAGGCGACGAUCCCUAGCUGGUUUGAGAGGAUGACCAGCCAAACUGGGACUGAGACACGGCCCAGACUCCUACGGUAGGCAGCAGUGGGGAAUAUUGCACAAUGGGCGAAAGCCUGAUGCAGCCAUGCCGCGUGUAUGAAGAAGGCCUUCGGGUUGUAAAGUACUUUUAGCGGGGAGGCGUUACCCGCAGAAUAAGCACCGGCUAACUCCGUGCCAGCAGCCGCGGUAAUAC
rnacentral:rRNA from 1 species